UACGUAGGGUGCAAGCGUUGUCCGGAAUUAUUGGGCGUAAAGAGCUCGUAGGCGGUCUGUCGCGUCGAAUGUGAAAACCCGGGGCUCAACCCCCGGGCCUGCAUUCGAUACGGGCAGACUAGAGUUCGGUAGGGGAGUCUGGAAUUCCUGGUGUAGCGGUGAAAUGCGCAGAUAUCAGGAGGAACACCGGUGGCGAAGGCGGGACUCUGGGCCGAUACUGACGCUGAGGAGCGAAAGCGUGGGGAGCAAACAGG
rnacentral:rRNA from 1 species